CACAUCGCUGACGAGUGGCGGACGGGUGAGUAAUGCUUGGGAACUUGCCUUUGCGAGGGGGAUAACAGUUGGAAACGACUGCUAAUACCGCAUAAUGUCUACGGACCAAACGGGGCUUCGGCUCCGGCGCAAAGAGAGGCCCAAGUGAGAUUAGCUAGUUGGUAAGGUAACGGCUUACCAAGGCGACGAUCUCUAGCUGUUCUGAGAGGAAGAUCAGCCACACUGGGACUGAGACACGGCCCAGACUCCUACGGGAGGCAGCAGUGGGGAAUAUUGCACAAUGGGGGAAACCCUGAUGCAGCCAUGCCGCGUGUGUGAAGAAGGCCUUCGGGUUGUAAAGCACUUUCAGUUGUGAGGAAAAGUUAGUAGUUAAUACCUGCUAGCCGUGACGUUAACAACAGAAGAAGCACCGGCUAACUCCGUGCCAGCAGCCGCGGUAAUACGGAGGGUGCGAGCGUUAAUCGGAAUUACUGGGCGUAAAGCGCACGCAGGCGGUUUGUUAAGCUAGAUGUGAAAGCCCCGGGCUCAACCUGGGAUGGUCAUUUAGAACUGGCAGACUAGAGUCUUGGAGAGGGGAGUGGAAUUCCAGGUGUAGCGGUGAAAUGCGUAGAUAUCUGGAGGAACAUCAGUGGCGAAGGCG
rnacentral:rRNA from 1 species